rnacentral:rRNA from 3 species
UACGUAGGGGGCAAGCGUUAUCCGGAUUUACUGGGUGUAAAGGGAGCGUAGACGGUGUGGCAAGUCUGAUGUGAAAGGCAUGGGCUCAACCUGUGGACUGCAUUGGAAACUGUCAUACUUGAGUGCCGGAGGGGUAAGCGGAAUUCCUAGUGUAGCGGUGAAAUGCGUAGAUAUUAGGAGGAACACCAGUGGCGAAGGCGGCUUACUGGACGGUAACUGACGUUGAGGCUCGAAAGCGUGGGGAGCAAACAGG